CAAGGAAUUUUCCGCAAUGGACGAAAGUCUGACGGAGCAACACCGCGUGGAGGAAGACGGCUUUCGGGUUGUAAACUCCUUUUGUGAGGGACGAUAUGGACGGUACCUCACGAAUAAGCCCCGGCUAACUACGUGCCAGCAGCCGCGGUAAUACGUAGGGGGCCAGCGUUGUCCGGACUUACUGGGCGUAAAGCGCGUGCAGGCGGGGAAGUAUGUGCCGUGUGAAAGCACCGGUCUUAAAUCGGUGAGGUCAUGGUAGACAGCUUUUCUAGAGGCUCGGAGAGGCCGGUGGAAUUUCGAGUGGAGCGGUGAAAUGCGUAGAUAUUCGAAGGAACACCAGUGGCGAAAGCGGCCGGCUGGCCGAGAACUGACGCUGAGACGCGACGGCGUGGGGAGCAAA
rnacentral:rRNA from 1 species